CCUACGGGGGGCAGCAGUGAGGAAUAUUGGUCAAUGGGCGAGAGCCUGAACCAGCCAAGUCGCGUGAGGGAGUACUGCCCUAUGGGUUGUAAACCUCUUUUGUCGGGGAGCAAAAGCCGGACGUGUCCGGCUGUGAGAGUACCCGAAGAAAAAGCAUUGGCUAACUCCGUGCCAGCAGCCGCGGUAAUACGGAGGAUGCGAGCGUUAUCCGGAUUUAUUGGGUUUAAAGGGUGCGCAGGCGGAUUUUUAAGUCAGCGGUAAAAUCGUGGGGCUCAACCCCAUCCAGCCGUUGAAACUGGGGAUCUAGAGUGUGCGAGAGGUAUGCGGAAUGCGUGGUGUAGCGGUGAAAUGCAUAGAUAUCACGCAGAACCCCGAUUGCGAAGGCAGCAUACCGGUGCACAACUGACGCUCAGGCACGAAAGCGUGGGUAUCGAACAGGAUUAGAUACCCUUGUAGU
rnacentral:rRNA from 1 species